rnacentral:rRNA from 1 species
CAAACCGACACAGGUGGUCAAGGCGAGUAGCCUGAGGUGAGCGAGAGAACUGUUGCCAAGGAACUCGGCAAACUGACCCCGUACGUUAGCAAUAAGGGGUGCUCGAAAGAGCCGCAGUGAAUAGGCCCUAGCAACUGUUUAACUAAAACAUAGCUCUCUGCCAAGCCGCAAGGCGAAGUAUAGGGGGUGACACCUGCCCGGUGCUGGAAGGUCAAGGGGAUUUGUCAGCGCAAGCGAAGCAUUGAACCGAAGCCCCAGUGAACGGCGGCCGUAACUAUAACGGUCCUAAGGUAGCGAAAUUCCUUGUCAGGUAAGUUCUGACCCGCACGAAAGGUGUAAUGAUUUGGGCACUGUCUCGGCAGCAGACUCGGUGAAAUCUUAGUACCUGUGAAGAUGCAGGUUACCCGCAACUAGACGGAAAGACCCCAUGGAGCUUUACUGCAGUCUGCUAUUGAGUUUCGGUUGGAUAUGCACAGGAUAGGUGGGAGACGAUGAGACGUGGAUUUCGGUCUACGAGGAGUCACUGUUGGGAUACCACUCUUAUUCAACUGGAAUUCUAACCUGAUAUCCGUGAUCCGGAUACAGGACCGUGGCAGAUGGGCAGUUUGACUGGGGCGGUCGCCUCCCAAAGAGUAACGGAGGCGCACAAAGGUACUCUCAGAAUGGUUGGAAAUCAUUCAGCGAGCGCAAACGCAGAAGAGUGCUUGACUGCGAGACAUACAGGUCGAGCAGGGACGAAAGUCGGUGUUAGUGAUCCGGCGGUGCAGAAUGGAAUGGCCGUCGCUUAACGGAUAAAAGCUACCCUGGGGAUAACAGGCUGAUCUCGCCCAAGAGUUCACAUCGACGGCGAGGUUUGGCACCUCGAUGUCGGCUCAUCGCAUCCUGGAGGUGAAUUCGCUUCCAAGGGUUGGGCUGUCCGCCCAUUAAAGCGGUACGCGAGCUGGGUUCAGAACGUCGUGAGACAGUUCGGUCCCUAUCUGUUGUGGGCGUUGGAAAUUUGAGGAGAGCUGCCCCUAGUACGAGAGGACCAGGGUGGACGUACCUACGGUGCACCAGUUGUCACGCCAGUGGCACAGCUGGAUAGCUGAGAACGGACCGGAUAAACGCUGAAGGCAUCUAAGCGUGAAACCGACUCCAAGAUUAGAUUUCCCAUUGUUUCAAACAAAUAAGACCCCUUGAAGACGACGAGGUUGAUAGGUCAGGGAUGUAAGUACAGUGAUGUAUUGAGUUGACUGAUACUAAUAGGUCGAAGGUUUAUUCAC